GCCGCUCGGAACUUUGCACACCUCUACGUGGUGAGCGGCAGGCAACACGGUGGGAAGCUGUGGCUGAGAUGUAAA
rnacentral:ribozyme from 1 species